rnacentral:tRNA from 1 species
CGGGGCAUGGCGCAGUUUGGUAGCGCGUCUGGUUUGGGACCAGAAGGCCGCAGGUUCGAAUCCUGCUGCCCCGACCA